UUAAGCGACUAAGCGUACACGGUGGAUGCCCUGGCAGUCAGAGGCGAUGAAGGACGUGCUAAUCUGCGAAAAGCGUCGGUAAGGUGAUAUGAACCGUUAUAACCGGCGAUGUCCGAAUGGGGAAACCCAGUGCAAUUCGUUGCACUAUCGUUAACUGAAUACAUAGGUUAACGAGGCGAACCGGGGGAACUGAAACAUCUAAGUACCCCGAGGAAAAGAAAUCAACCGAGAUUCCCCCAGUAGCGGCGAGCGAACGGGGAGCAGCCCAGAGUCUGAAUCAGCUUGUGUGUUAGUGGAACGGUCUGGAAAGUCCGACGGUACAGGGUGAUAGUCCCGUACACCAAAAUGCACAGGUUGUGAACUCGAAGAGUAGGGCGGGACACGUGGUAUCCUGUCUGAAUAUGGGGGGACCAUCCUCCAAGGCUAAAUACUCCUGACUGACCGAUAGUGAACCAGUACCGUGAGGGAAAGGCGAAAAGAACCCCGGCGAGGGGAGUGAAAAAGAACCUGAAACCGUGUACGUACAAGCAGUGGGAGCACCUUCGGGUGUGACUGCGUACCUUUUGUAUAAUGGGUCAGCGACUUAUAUUCUGUAGCAAGGUUAACCGUAUAGGGGAGCCGCAGGGAAACCGAGUCUUAACUGGGCGUUAAGUUGCAGGGUAUAGACCCGAAACCCGGUGAUCUAGCCAUGGGCAGGUUGAAGGUUGGGUAACACUAACUGGAGGACCGAACCGACUAAUGUUGAAAAAUUAGCGGAUGACUUGUGGCUGGGGGUGAAAGGCCAAUCAAACCGGGAGAUAGCUGGUUCUCCCCGAAAGCUAUUUAGGUAGCGCCUCGUGAAUUCAUCUUCGGGGGUAGAGCACUGUUUCGGCUAGGGGGUCAUCCCGACUUACCAACCCGAUGCAAACUACGAAUACCGAAGAAUGUUAUCACGGGAGACACACGGCGGGUGCUAACGUCCGUCGUGAAGAGGGAAACAACCCAGACCGCCAGCUAAGGUCCCAAAGUCAUGGUUAAGUGGGAAACGAUGUGGGAAGGCACAGACAGCCAGGAUGUUGGCUUAGAAGCAGCCAUCAUUUAAAGAAAGCGUAAUAGCUCACUGGUCGAGUCGGCCUGCGCGGAAGAUGUAACGGGGCUAAACCAUGCACCGAAGCUGCGGCAGCGACACUAUGUGUUGUUGGGUAGGGGAGCGUUCUGUAAGCCUGCGAAGGUGUGCUGUGAGGCAUGCUGGAGGUAUCAGAAGUGCGAAUGCUGACAUAAGUAACGAUAAAGCGGGUGAAAAGCCCGCUCGCCGGAAGACCAAGGGUUCCUGUCCAACGUUAAUCGGGGCAGGGUGAGUCGACCCCUAAGGCGAGGCCGAAAGGCGUAGUCGAUGGGAAACAGGUUAAUAUUCCUGUACUUGGUGUUACUGCGAAGGGGGGACGGAGAAGGCUAUGUUAGCCGGGCGACGGUUGUCCCGGUUUAAGCAUGUAGGCUGGUUGUCCAGGCAAAUCCGGAUAAUCAAGGCUGAGGUGUGAUGACGAGGCACUACGGUGCUGAAGUAACAAAUGCCCUGCUUCCAGGAAAAGCCUCUAAGCAUCAGGUAACAUUAAAUCGUACCCCAAACCGACACAGGUGGUCAGGUAGAGAAUACCAAGGCGCUUGAGAGAACUCGGGUGAAGGAACUAGGCAAAAUGGUGCCGUAACUUCGGGAGAAGGCACGCUGGUGUGUAGGUGAAGUCCCUGCGGAUGGAGCUGAGACCAGUCGAAGAUACCAGCUGGCUGCAACUGUUUAUUAAAAACACAGCACUGUGCAAACACGAAAGUGGACGUAUACGGUGUGACGCCUGCCCGGUGCCGGAAGGUUAAUUGAUGGGGUUAUCCGUAAGGAGAAGCUCUUGAUCGAAGCCCCGGUAAACGGCGGCCGUAACUAUAACGGUCCUAAGGUAGCGAAAUUCCUUGUCGGGUAAGUUCCGACCUGCACGAAUGGCGUAAUGAUGGCCAGGCUGUCUCCACCCGAGACUCAGUGAAAUUGAACUCGCUGUGAAGAUGCAGUGUACCCGCGGCAAGACGGAAAGACCCCGUGAACCUUUACUAUAGCUUGACACUGAACAUUGAGCCUUGAUGUGUAGGAUAGGUGGGAGGCUUUGAAGCGUGGACGCCAGUCUGCGUGGAGCCAACCUUGAAAUACCACCCUUUAAUGUUUGAUGUUCUAACGUUGGCCCCUGACCGGGGUUGCGGACAGUGUCUGGUGGGUAGUUUGACUGGGGCGGUCUCCUCCCAAAGCGUAACGGAGGAGCACGAAGGUUAGCUAAUCCUGGUCGGACAUCAGGAGGUUAGUGCAAUGGCAUAAGCUAGCUUGACUGCGAGCGUGACGGCGCGAGCAGGUGCGAAAGCAGGUCAUAGUGAUCCGGUGGUUCUGAAUGGAAGGGCCAUCGCUCAACGGAUAAAAGGUACUCCGGGGAUAACAGGCUGAUACCGCCCAAGAGUUCAUAUCGACGGCGGUGUUUGGCACCUCGAUGUCGGCUCAUCACAUCCUGGGGCUGAAGUAGGUCCCAAGGGUAUGGCUGUUCGCCAUUUAAAGUGGUACGCGAGCUGGGUUUAGAACGUCGUGAGACAGUUCGGUCCCUAUCUGCCGUGGGCGCUGGAGAAUUGAGGGGGGCUGCUCCUAGUACGAGAGGACCGGAGUGGACGCAUCACUGGUGUUCGGGUUGUCAUGCCAAUGGCACUGCCCGGUAGCUAAAUGCGGAAGAGAUAAGUGCUGAAAGCAUCUAAGCACGAAACUUGCCCCGAGAUGAGUUCUCCCUGAGACUUUAAGUCUCCUGAAGGAACGUUGAAGACGACGACGUUGAUAGGCCGGGUGUGUAAGCGCAGCGAUGCGUUGAGCUAACCGGUACUAAUGAACCGUGAGGCUUAACCUU
rnacentral:rRNA from 1 species